CCUACGGGUGGCAGCAGUGAGGAAUAUUGGUCAAUGGACGAGAGUCUGAACCAGCCAAGUAGCGUGAAGGAUGACUGCCCUAUGGGUUGUAAACUUCUUUUAUAAAGGAAUAAAACGAGGCACGUGUGCCUUAUUGCAUGUACUUUAUGAAUAAGGAUCGGCUAAUGCCGUGCCAGCAGCCGCGGUAAUACGGAGGAUCCGAGCGUUAACCGGAGUUAUUGGGUGUAAAGGGAGCGUAGAUGGGUUGGUAAGUCAGUUGUGAAAGUUUGCGGCUCAACAGUAAAAUUGCAAUUGAUACUGGCAGUCUUGAGUACAGGUGAGGUAGGUGGAAUGCGUGGUGUAGCGGUGAAAUGCUUAGAUAUCACGAAGAACCCCGAUUGCGAAGGCAGCUUACUAGACUGUGACUGACAUUGAUGCGCGAAAGUGUGGGUAUCAAACAGGAUUAGAUACCCUUGUAGUC
rnacentral:rRNA from 1 species